GGUUACUUAUCACUUUCGCUUAGCCACUCAGAAUUGCUUCCGAACAGCUAGUAACCAUCGUUUACGGCGUAGACUACCAGGGUAUCUAAUCCUGUUCGCUACCUACGCUUUCGUCCAUCAGCGUCAAUGACUUAUUAGUGAUCUGCCUUCGCAAUCGGUGUUCUAUGUAAUAUCUAUGCAUUUCACCGCUACACUACAUAUUCCAACCACUUCAUAAGUAUUCAAGAACAACAGUAUCAAUGGCAAUUCUAUGGUUGAGCCACAGACUUUCACCGCUGACUGAUUGUCCCGCCUACGGACCCUUUAAACCCAAUGAUUCCGGAUAACGCUUGGAUCCUCCGUAUUACCGCGGCUGCUGGCACGGAGUUAGCCGAUCCUUAUUCGUAGAGUACCGUCAAGCUCCUACACGUAGGAGUGUUUCUUCCUCUAUAAAAGCAGUUUACAACCCAUAGGGCCGUCUUCCUGCACGCGGCAUGGCUGGAUCAGGCUCUCGCCCAUUGUCCAAUAUUCCUCACUGCUGCCUCCCGUAGGAGUCUGGUCCGUGUCUCAGUACCAGUGUGGGGGAUCUCCCUCUCAGGACCCCUAUCUAUCGAAGUCUAGGUAAGCCGUUACCUUACCUACUAACUAAUAGAACGCAUACUCAUCUUGUAGCCAUAAAUGUUUAAUUAUCAAAUAAUGCUAUCUAAUAAUACUAUGGGGCAUUAAUCCAAAUUUCUCUGGGCUAUUCCCCUCUACAAGGUAGAUUGUAUACGCGUUACGCACCCGUGCGCCGGUCGUCGGCGGUGCAAGCACCCCGUUACCCCUCGACUUGCAUGUGUUAAGCCUG
rnacentral:rRNA from 1 species